AUUUACAAUAAAAAGUCUCUUCAAGAUUAAUUUUAAGCUAUGAAUUUUUGGAUGGAUUCUAAAAGGGAGCAUAAUGGAAGAUCCAAACGUCGAGCUGAACAAAGAGAACCUUGUUGAGUAUCUUCGACAUGACGAUACGUUUGUAGAGUACUUUAACACAUUUCUUUCAUUGCCAUGCUUUCAAACAAGAAUUUACUACGACAAACGAUCUGGCCUUUUGGAAGAAUUUACACAGAAACUGGUCAAAGAUGCCUGUGGAAAUAUUCAAAAGAGACACGAUCCAAC